UGUACCUAAGAGUGAGUUGUUGUUGGUGGUUUUUUUUUUUGUUUUUGUUUUUUUCAUGUGAUUUAAGUAUUGAUUAAUCUUUUUUUUUUUUUUUUUAAUAUAUCAAAAAGAUGAUGGGAGAAUGUUUGGGCGCUAUAUGAUGUUUUGAGAUGUUACUUCAAUGAGACUACUUUAGCUGCUUACUUGAGUGACCUUGAUUGUUAACAGGUGUCAUUAAUUGAAAUUGUUUGAACAUGUGAACUCCUGUUUAAUAAUGAUCCUUGUUUGUGUGUGUGUGUGUGUGUGUGUGUGUGUUGCCUGACGAAGGUCUUUGACCGAAACGUUGCAGUUUUAACUACUUUAAUAAAGGGACUUUUUACAGUGUGCAGAUCUUUUUCUGUUCUUUGUAUUUUUGAGAGAAAAAUGUUUAUGCGUGGUUUUUGAAAAAGCAAAAUUUUUAAGUCACUGAUAUAACUCCACAAAACUCAUUCUAAACAUGUUUCCCCAAGACUUUCCAAACAGGAUCUAGUAGUCUAGAGUUUAUUCUUCAAAAUGAUGUGAAAAUCAUAUGGCCUACUCAAUCACAUAAAGCAAUGCAUUGAUUUACAAUUUCUAAGACACUUUUGCUUGGGAAAGGCUGUAUGCGUGGAGGCGGGAAAGCUCCUGAAUAAUCAGUGAUUGACAGCUGAGAGACAAAAGAGUUGAAUAAUGAGCCACUAAUGAGCCUUGUGGGGAUGUUCAACAGGACUGUAACCCUCAGUAAAACCAUGAUAAGGUUUACUUUUCAAUACAAUGUAAACACACACACACACACACACACAAUAUUUCUAUUGAAAUAUUUUCUAUUAAUAUCACAAUUAUAAGUUACCUUUUAAAAACCAUAGUAGCCUAAUCAUGGUAAAGGUACUGUUUGGCCAUCAUAAAGUGAACACAGAACAACUGCCUAUCGUUGUCUGGACUCCUAUUUGUGUUUUUGUAAUCAUUAUAGUAGAAACACAACCAGGGACACGCGUGAUAAACUUAUCAAUGUUUGUUUACAGCCGCCGCCAUUACCUCACGUGUUGAUCAUGAAAGCAGUGAAUGUGUGCACAUGCGAGUGAUCCUGUGUUUAAUAAACUUGCUGUGCGGAGAUAUGCGCUUAGACGCAACUAAAUAAGGAUUGUACUGUUUGCAAUCGCGUAUUUUAUAAGAAUACCAAAAAGCGCGUCGAGUUUCCUGACUCGCGUGUUUGUGUAUGUGCGUUCCCGUCGCCUCAGCUGUUUGACGGAAGACAAAGAAAACACUCGCGUCUGGAGAUACUGACACACAUCCGCAAGUAAAUAAGGAUUUAUAUGUCGGACAUCGAUCCCAUCACACUGACGAAGCACACACACUCGCGUCUGUCUGGAGAUUUAGGCGCGAGUAAACAAGUAUGUGAUGUGUGUAAUCGCAUCUUUUAUAAUGAUACCACAAAGCGCUUCAAAUAUGAGGCAUUGUGUGUUUGUGUGUGCGUUUGGACGUCGAUCGAGUCACACUCGCGUCUGGAGAUAACUUUAGUUACAGUCACGAGUAAACAAGUAUAUGUCAUGUUUCCAGCACUCGGAUUAAAACUCAUUCACAGCAGUGAAUGGCUGCAGAGACGGAAUGGAAUGUCCAUUGACUGUGGGGUUGCCUAAUGAAUAUGGAUGAUCUCUGCUCUUUUCUUCAAUGGAGCGGGGCGUGGCUCAUUAUAGAUAAUGAAGCAACAGAAGAAAGACGGUACAUCUCUCUCUUCUAAUACAGUUAACAACGAAUUACAAUAUUUGUUUUCGAUUUCACUUACAUCUUCCAAAAGCAGACAUUCCAAGCAUUAUGUAGACAUUUAUCUUUUGUUUAUAUGACAAAUAUUCAUUUAGUUAGAGUUAAUUUUUCUGACGUGUUUCUGAAAGGACUUCACUGAGGGAGAGAGAACAAAACGCGCAUCAUGUUUAUUUUCUUAAUUUUGCGAAAAGCACAACAUGCUGUUUUUAUUGGGAGUGGACAGAAAAAAACUAGACAAUUUAACGUUUUAAAUGAUGUAUAAAUCAUAUCUGUAUGUCAAAAAUCAGCAGAGUUAUUUAAAGAGCACCUAUUAUGAGAUACACGUUUUUAAACAUCCUUUUGUGUGUAAGUUUGUAUUAGUACAUGCUAACGAUAUUCAAAAAGUACAUACCUCAAAGAAAACGAUGACGCGAGUUAUCGUCUCUAACGUUCGAAGACUACAAAAAACACUCGGAUUGUAGGCAACAGUUUACUUCCUGGGAUUGGUGACGUAGAUAAGACCAACAUUAUCAUAGUUCAGCCCUCUCUGCUUUGCUUGGGUACGCCCUCAAAGACGGGGGUGGAGAGCGCUGAGUCAGAAGAGAGCUAAAAUGGCGGAGGUUGGGAGUCCCUGCUUUGACUGUGUUUGCAAACUCUUGCUUCAUUGUUUAAGUGAUUAAAUCUCUCGAGUAGACGCUGUCUCUUUAGAUGCAAGGGCAAAAUAGCACUUUAUGGACUUACACAGAGGACAUCAGGUUUAAUACGGUUCCGGAAAAAUCCAGUCAGAAGUUCUUCACGGAGUUUUCACAAUAACUGCUUCUCAUGAACCGAAGCUGCGCGACGUCUCCUCCUGAAAGUUGGAUUACCGUGCACUUCUGGAUCACAGGCUAUUCGCAGCUGGACACAUCCUUCUAACUAACACUGUAUGCAAACAUGCAACAUCAUAACACACAGUACAAGGAGUCAGACAGGCAUAUGAGGAGCAAAGAAACCCACGCAGUAGCAUCGUUUCAAAAUGUUUCCAUCACCAUCAUCAGUGGAUGCCUUUGCCGUCCGUACCCUGAGAUUUCAGAUUUGCUGCAAAAAAUGUGACUUUCCCAUUUAUUGGAAUGCUGUGCAGCCAUCCAUUACAAUGUCACCAAGCCGUAACAAAAGCAGGAGAGGGAAAGUACAAGGCUAUGUUCCCAAAACACAAAAGUGACAUACUUUAUGUGGAUGAUGUGAUCAGGCUUGUGUUUGCUGAGGUAUUUGAAGAUAAGCUGAAGGAAACCCCGAUUCCAAUGGACCUGGCAUCACAGUUUGAGAGACCUUCAAAGGAGGACGUGAUUGCAUGCCAUCUUCAGUGCAGGGGUCGUCGGAAGCCAACAUUCCGAUCGGGAAGCUCCAAGCGUAUUUGGAGAACAACACACGACAGGAUGAUAACCCUAAAGUGUCAUCUUAGAUAGCAUCAGCUGACAAAGCUUUGAUAUGCCAUUUAUCUGAAUAGAUAGCUGUAAGAAGUGAAUUGAACAAUUUUUGAAAGAAGAGCACAAUAUGGUU